rnacentral:rRNA from 1 species
UACGUAGGGGGGCAAGCGUUUGUCCGGAAUCAUUGGGCGUAAAGCGCGUGUAGGCGGCUCGGUAAGUCUGCUGUGAAAGUCCAGGGCUCAACCCCUGGGGAUGCCGGUGGAUACUGUCGAGCUCGAGUCCGGAAGAGGCGAGUGGAAUUCCUGGUGUAGCGGUGAAAUGCGCAGAUAUCAGGAGGAACACCAAUGGCGAAGGCAGCUCGCUGGGACGUGACUGACGCUGAGACGCGAAAGCGUGGGGAGCAAACAGG